CCUACGGGAGGCAGCAGUGGGGAAUAUUGGGCAAUGGGCGCAAGCCUGACCCAGCAACGCCGCGUGAAGGAAGAAGGCUUUCGGGUUGUAAACUUCUUUUCUCAGGGACGAAGCAAGUGACGGUACCUGAGGAAUAAGCCACGGCUAACUACGUGCCAGCAGCCGCGGUAAUCCGUAGGUGGCAAGCGUUAUCCGGAUUUAUUGGGUGUAAAGGGCGUGUAGGCGGGGAGGCAAGUCAGAUGUGAAAACCACGGGCUCAACCUGUGGCCUGCAUUUAAAACUGUGUUUCUUGAGUACAGGUGAGGCAGACGGAAGUCCUAGUGUAGCGGUGAAAUGCGUAGAGAUUAGGAGGAACACCAGUGGCGAAGGCGGUCUGCUGGACAGCAACUGACGCUGAGGCGCGAAAGCGUGGGGAGCAAACAGGAUUAGAUACCCGUGUAGUC
rnacentral:rRNA from 1 species